CCGUGGUCUUCUGCUUUCCGGACUAGGAGUUUAGUGAGAACGUCCACCAGCACUACUACUACAACGGUCUUAAAUCAACAUGUCUGACACAGAAGAAUAUGAAGAACAUAAUGGAUCAGUAUUGGAUAGUAGAGAAUUUUACAAUACUCUUGUGCACUUCAUUGAUAGGUAGG